AUGCAACAUUCUCUGCUGGACUUGGAAGACUAAAAAACGAUAAUCCAUUAAAUAAAGCAAAUGAGAAAGAUUAACGGUGAAGACAAAGUGUGCCUUGCCCUUUGUGGACUUCGGAACGGUGAAGGUCUACACUGUGACCAUGAAGUUAGAGAUCUUCCCUGGCGACAGCUAAAAGGUAAUGAGAGCAAGGCAGAUGGACUAAAGAAUGGGACAGUAAGGUGCAACACAAAAAAGAAGAAAAUAUGAACAAGGGCAACAGCAGUCCUGACAAUGAUGAAAGUUUCCACAUGGAUGUAACAACAAAUUCUGAAGAGAUUUACUCCCUGAAUCAGAUCAAUGACUGUCUAUUUGCAGACUCCUUGGAAACUGGGGAAAGAAAUCUACAUCUCCAGUUCCUUCUUCUUACAACGGUGGAAUAAUGCAUCACAGAGCAAUGCACCUGAAAAAGUCCUUCAUUCUGUGUCAGAUCAGACAUAGUUGAGAUUCGUAGUAAGUGGGGCAGGACGGUAACAGUAAUUUUGACACCUGAGGUGAAAAACAGCAUCGACCUCCUCAACAAGACAAGGAAAGCCGUGGGUAUUCCAGAUGAAAAUCCAUUUAAUAGUUGCUAGGUCAAACAGACAGUCAAAUUUGCUAUGGAAGGCGACCCACCUCUGUCAAACCUUACAGAGAUAGCCAGUACCAAACUCAGAAAGUAUAUGGCAACCAUUUCCCAAGUAGUCUCUCUCAAAGGAACAGAGGUAGACCGACUAAGCAAGACACCUUGGUCAUGAAAUCCAAGUGCAUGGAGACUUCUACUGUCUUCACGAAUCUGCAGUUGAAAUUUCCAAAGUGAGCAAGCUUCUUCUUACAGUCGGUCAAGGUGAAACAAGAAAGUUCACAAGGAAAACACUGGCGGAAAAUGACUGAAAUGGUUCCUCUCGGUCAGUGCUCUAGUGUUUCGUUGCUGUAGAGAAAUUCCCUUGGUAAACCAAAAGCUAACUUUUGAAGAAAGAAUCAGUUGUAUCACGAGGCACGAUGAUUUUCCACCGAGGAGUAAUCGGGCAGUUCUACUGCAAGUUGCUCCUUCUCCCAUAGAUUGCAAAGGCAGAGGCUAUGGUCACGGUCGUCGAGCCGGUCAAACCGAAAGGAAAACGAGUGAGUUUAUAGUCAUCUGAUUCAAGUUAAUCUCAUAUAGGCAUUUUAAUAGAAAAAAACCUUAUUUAGUUUAAGUGC